GACGAACGCUGGCGGCGUGCCUAAUACAUGCAAGUCGAACGGUCUUUUCUAUGGAAGCUUGCUUUCCGCUGAGAAGAUAAGUGGCGAACGGGUGAGUAACACGUGGGUAACCUGCCCAUAAGAGGGGGAUAACGAUCCGGAAACGGGUGCUAAUACCGGCAUAUGACCGGAAGGUGAAACGGAGUGAUCCGACCCGAUGAGGUGCUCAUGUCCUAUUC
rnacentral:rRNA from 1 species